rnacentral:rRNA from 1 species
GGGGAAUCUUGCGCAAUGGGCGAAAGCCUGACGCAGCGACGCCGCGUGAGUGAUGAAGGCCUUCGGGUUGUAAAGCUCUGUGGAGGGGGACGAAUAAGGGCCGUCGAACAGACGGCUCGAUGACGGUACCCCUUUAGCAAGCACCGGCUAACUCUGUGCCAGCAGCCGCGGUAAGACAGAGGGUGCAAACGUUGUUCGGAAUUACUGGGCGUAAAGCGCGUGUAGGCUGCUCUGCAAGUCGGAUGUGAAAGCCCUGGGCUCAACCUAGGAAGUGCACUCGAAACUGCAGAGCUUGAGUCUCGGAGAGGGUCGCGGAAUUCUCGGUGUAGAGGUGAAAUUCGUAGAUAUCGAGAGGAACACCGGUGGCGAAGGCGGCGACCUGGACGAUGACUGACGCUGAGACGCGAAAGCGUGGGGAGCAAA